rnacentral:rRNA from 1 species
UACGUAGGGUGCAAGCGUUAAUCGGAAUUACUGGGCGUAAAGCGUGCGCAGGCGGUUGUGUAAGACAGAUGUGAAAUCCCCGGGCUCCAACCUGGGAACUGCAUUUGUGACUGCACAGCUGGAGUGCGGCAGAGGGGGAUGGAAUUCCGCGUGUAGCAGUGAAAUGCGUAGAUAUGCGGAGGAACACCGAUGGCGAAGGCAAUCCCCUGGGCCUGCACUGACGCUCAGUGCACGAAAGCGUGGGAGC